rnacentral:lncRNA from 1 species
UAGCAUUCUUACUUUCUUUAAAUCAGACCUGGUGAUACUGUGCAGAAGUAAAAGUGUAACUACUGUGAUUAGUAGAACUACUGUGCAUUAGUACAAAUGGAUGUACCAAUCGCAGAUUGGCGCUUUAAAGCUGCUCUCUCUCCAGGGGUUUCCUGGAGACUUUGGUGAAAGAGGACCACCAGGACCAGACGGGGACCCAGGUUUGCUUGGAGCCCGUGGUCCUAAUGGAGUUCUUGGACUUAUUGGUGACAUGGGACCGAAUGGGAAGAUGGGCCUUCCAGGACCCGAUGGACUGAAGGUGAUCACACACACACACACACACAGGGCCUUUGCACCUACCUUACUCCUUUAUAACCCCACUAGUGUAGUAGUAUA